ensembl:lncRNA
CCUGGGCAGGGUCGGCAGCCAGACCCUGGAGUCUCUCCGCGGGGAGAAAUGUGCAGGGUCCUGGAACUGCAGUGACAGCACAGCCUCUUCGUCAGGCCAACGGAGACAAGGGGACUUUGCAGAUCUUUCAGCCUGUAGCUGCUCGUCAGGAAGGAGGCAGCCGUCUUCUCUCCCAGAUACACUGUGGUUCCCGCGUGCACUCUGUUCCACAUUUAGAAGAGCGAACCUACAAGCCAUACCCCAUUUGUGGGUGAAGAAGCCAAGACUUGUAAGGCAUAAAGCCGGUGCACCAAGGAGCCAGCUCUGCUCGCCCACCUCCACCUCUCAGUCGGUCACUCCUUCCCUAAGAGACCAGACUAGCUGGAGAGUUAUGGUGGAAUUCAGGCUUUAGGGACCCCCUGGGCCCCGCAUAGAGCCUGUCGCCUGCAGCCACAGCGGAGAUUUUCAUGGUCUUGGCUUAUAAUGUGAUGUCCAUAGCCAAAUCUGGAGGCAGCUUGACCUUCAGUGAAGACACUUGGGUCUCAGCCAGGAUCGGCCUGCACUUGGCUCUUUGUCCACCAGAUGUGAUGGGACGAAUGGGAGGGUGGAGAAGCUGCUGCUGCCCACAGGCUGAGUGACCUGGGAGGCUUCCCCUCCUCCCCAAGCCUCACAAUCGUCCUUAUCAAGGGGACUUCACAGAACACGCUCUCAGCAGAGACCUGGGAAAGCAAACAUAGCUUCAAGUUCCGAUAGGACAGUGACCGCGUUAACAGCACACGUGCUUGCAGAGAAUGUCAGGGUGGGAACAGGGCACACUGUGUCCUGAUCCACGUGUGAGCGUCCAGAGCCCCAGCCCCAACAGAAACGUGGCGGGGCCAUAGGUGUAAUUUUACGUUUUCUUGUAGUUACGUUAGGAAAGUAAAAAGAGGGGCGCCUGGGUGGCUCAGUCGUUAGGCGUCUGCCUUCGGCUCGAGUCACGCUCCCGGGGUCCUGGGAUCGGGCCCCGCGUCGGGCUCCCUGCUCGGCGGGAAGCCUGCUUCUCCCUCUCCCACUCCCCUGCUUGUGUUCCCUCUCUCGCUGUGUCUCUCCCUGUAAAAUAAGUAAAUAAAAUGUUUAAAAAAAAGUAAAAGGAAUCAGGUGGCAUUUUAAAGUAUAUUUUUAUUUUACCCAUCGUAUCCCAAAUGUUACCAUUUGAACAAGUAGCCGAUAUAAACUUUAUUAAUGAGCCAUGUCACAUGUUUCACCACCGUCCAAUCACAACCACUAAGUCCUAGGUAGUACCUAAGUGCAGUCCGCCCCUCACACCUUACAGCUCCUCUCAACUUGGAGCACGCUCAAUUUUCACGGAAAUACUUGAUCUUUGCUCAGAUUUCAUGAAAUUCGCGGCUGGAAACGGGCUCAUGUGCCCAAGUUGUUCCGAAGAGACAACUUUUCCAUUAAGUGCAGGGUAAAGGCCAGGUCCCAGCGGGCUGGAAGCUGCAGGGCGGCGGUCCCCACGACAGGGCCGCCGGGCACAGGGCAGAGAGGGCGCGCGUCGAGACGCAACGGAACACCCGGGACCGUGGGCCCGGGCCCGCGCGAGAACGCCCACCCGCGAGGCUAG